GACGGAGGGGGCAAGCGUUGUCCGGAAUUACUGGGCGUAAAGCGCUCGUAGGCGGUGUCAUACGGCGGUGGUGAAAGCUCCCGGCUCAACUGGGAGAGGCCCGCCGCAACGGUGGCACUUGAGGUUGGUAGAGGCAGAUGGAAUUCCUGGUGUAGCGGUGAAAUGCGUAGAGAUCAGGAGGAACACCCAUGGCGAAGGCAGUCUGCUGGGCCACACCUGACGCUGAGGAGCGAAAGCUAGGGGAGCGAAC
rnacentral:rRNA from 1 species